rnacentral:rRNA from 1 species
UAGGUUAACGAGGCGAACCGGGGGAACUGAAACAUCUAAGUACCCCGAGGAAAAGAAAUCAACCGAGAUUCCCCCAGUAGCGGCGAGCGAACGGGGAGCAGCCCGGAGUCUGAAUCAGCUUGUGUGUUAGUGGAACGGUCUGGAAAGUCCGACGGUACAGGGUGAUAGUCCCGUACACGAAAACACACUUGCUGUGAACUCGAAGAGUAGGGCGGGACACGUGGUAUCCUGUCUGAAUAUGGGGGGACCAUCCUCCAAGGCUAAAUACUCCUGACUGACCGAUAGUGAACCAGUACCGUGAGGGAAAGGCGAAAAGAACCCCGGCGAGGGGAGUGAAAAAGAACCUGAAACCGUGUACGUACAAGCAGUGGGAGCCUCUUUAUGGGGUGACUGCGUACCUUUUGUAUAAUGGGUCAGCGACUUAUAUUCUGUAGCAAGGUUAACCGUAUAGGGGAGCCGAAGGGAAACCGAGUCUUAACUGGGCGUUAAGUUGCAGGGUAUAGACCCGAAACCCGGUGAUCUAGCCAUGGGCAGGUUGAAGGUUGGGUAACACUAACUGGAGGACCGAACCGACUAAUGUUGAAAAAUUAGCGGAUGACCUGUGGCUGGGGGUGAAAGGCCAAUCAAACCGGGAGAUAGCUGGUUCUCCCCGAAAGCU